rnacentral:rRNA from 1 species
UUAAGUGAAUAAGGGCGCACGGAGGAUGCCUUGGCACUAGGAGUCGAAGAAGGACGCGACAAACGGCGAAACGCCUCGGGGAGCUGUAAGUGAGCAUUGAUCCGGGGGUAUCCGAAUGGGGAAACCCGCUAGUGGUUAUACGCUAGCACCAUAUGGUGAAUACAUAGCCAUAUAGGAGACAGACCCAGGGAACUGAAACAUCUAAGUACCUGGAGGAAAAGAAAGAAAAAUCGAUUCCCGUAGUAGCGGCGAGCGAAGUGGGAAGAGCCCAAACCGGAUUUAUCCGGGGUUGUAGGACCUUCAUAAUUGACAAAUCAUGAUAGCCGAAUGGUCUGGGAAGGCCAACCGUAGGGGGUGAGAGUCCCGUAGGUGAAAUUGUGAGAUGCAUGGAAGGAAUCCUGAGUACGGCGGGACACGUGGAAUCCCGUCGGAAUCAACGAGGACCAUCUCGUAAGGCUAAAUACUACCUAGUGACCGAUAGUGAACCAGUACCGUGAGGGAAAGGUGAAAAGAACCCCGGAAGGGGAGUGAAAGAGAACCUGAAACCGUGUGCCUACAAAUAGUCAGAGCCCGUUAAUGGGUGAUGGCGUGCCUUUUGUAGAAUGAACCGGCGAGUUACGAUAUCGUGCGAGGUUAAGCAGAAGAUGCGGAGCCGUAGCGAAAGCGAGUCUGAAUAGGGCGAAGAGUACGAUGUUGUAGACCCGAAACCGUGUGAGCUAGCCAUGAGCAGGCUGAAGGUCAGGUAACACUGACUGGAGGGCCGAACCAGGGCACGUUGAAAAGUGCUUGGAUGACUUGUGGCUAGGGGUGAAAUUCCAAUCGAACACGGAUAUAGCUGGUUCUCUCCGAAAUAGCUUUAGGGCUAGCCUCGAUGUUAAGUCUACUGGAGGUAGAGCACUGAAUGGGUGAUGGCCCCACCUCGGGGUACUGAUCUCAAUCAAACUCCGAAUGCCAGAUAGAUAUAAUCGGGAGUCAGACUGUGGGUGAUAAGGUCCAUGGUCAAAAGGGAAAGAGCCCAGACCGCCAGCUAAGGCCCCCAAGUGUCCGUUAAGUGGAAAAGGAUGUGGAGAUGCACAGACAACUAGGAGGUUGGCUUAGAAGCAGCCAUCCUUUAAAGAGUGCGUAAUAGCUCACUAGUCGAGUGACUCUGCGCCGAAAAUGUACCGGGGCUAAACGGACCGCCGAAGCUGCGGAUUGACUUUAGAGUCAGUGGUAGGAGAGCGUUCUAACAGCGGUGAAGCAGUACCGGAAGGAGCUGUGGAGCGGUUAGAAGUGAGAAUGCCGGUGUGAGUAGCGAAAGAUAGGUGAGAAUCCUAUCCAUCGAAAGCCUAAGGUUUCCAGGGGAAGGCUCGUCCGCCCUGGGUAAGUCGGGACCUAAGGUGAGGCCGAAAGGCGUAGCCGAUGGACAACAGGUUGAUAUUCCUGUACCACUUAUUAAACUGAUGGAGUGACGGAGAAGGCUAAGUUGAGCGUGUGAUUGGAUUCACGUGUAAGCAGUGAGGUGGUCAUGUAGGCAAAUCCGCAUGGCAUAACAUUGAGCUGUGAUGCCGAAGCCGAAUGGCGAAGUCAACUGACGUCACGCUUCCAAGAAAAGCUUCUAUUAUUUAAUAAGUGCCCGUACCGAUAACCGACACAGGUAGGCGAGGAGAGAAUCCUAAGAUGAGCGAGAGAACUCUUGUUAAGGAACUCGGCAAAAUGACCCCGUAACUUCGGGAGAAGGGGUGCUUGUGAAAGCAAGCCGCAGUGAAUAGGCCCAGGCGACUGUUUAUCAAAAACACAGGUCUCUGCUAAACCGCAAGGUGAUGUAUAGGGGCUGACGCCUGCCCGGUGCUGGAAGGUUAAGAGGAGAGGUUAGCGCAAGCGAAGCUUUGAAUUGAAGCCCCAGUAAACGGCGGCCGUAACUAUAACGGUCCUAAGGUAGCGAAAUUCCUUGUCGGGUAAGUUCCGACCCGCACGAAAGGCGUAACGAUCUGGGCGCUGUCUCAACAAGAGACUCGGUGAAAUCAUAGUACCUGUGAAGAUGCAGGUUACCCGCGACAGGACGGAAAGACCCCGUGGAGCUUUACUGUAGCUUGAUAUUGAGCACUGGUGGCACAUGUACAGGAUAGGUAGGAGACGAAGAAACCAGGACGCCAGUCUUGGUGGAGUCGCUGUUGGGAUACUACCCUUGUGUCACUGGGGUUCUAACCCGUGGCCCUUAUCGGGUCAGGGAACAGUGUCAGGUGGGCAGUUUGACUGGGGCGGUCGCCUCCCAAAGAGUAACGGAG